rnacentral:rRNA from 1 species
ACUCAAAAAACGGAUCUAAGUCCCACUUGAAGCGCUUAAUUAGUUUACCAAAACAAUCAUUUAGACUUCAAUGUAAUUCAAAUAAGGUACAGCCUAUUUGAAACAGGAAACAACCUAAACUGAUGGAUAAAACAGCUUUAUUAACAACUUAGUAGGCCUAAAAGCAGCCAUCUAUUAAAUAGCGUCAAAGCUUAAUUGUUUUAUUGCUUAAUUUCACAAACAUUAUUUUAAUCCUCCAUCCCCAUUGAGUAAUUCUAUAACAUUAUAGAAAAUUUUAUGUUAAAACUAGUAACAAGAAGAAGACCUUCUCUUAAAUGUAAGUGUUGAUCAGAAAGGACAAACCACUGAUAUUUAUCAUCAUUGAACCAAAAAUAGUAACUCAUCAAGAAAACACUAUUUUUAUUUAUGUUAACCUAACACAAGAACAUUAUAAGAAAGAUUUAAAGAAAAAGAAGGAACUCGGCAAAUAUUAACCUCGCCUGUUUACCAAAAACAUCGCCUCUUGAGCUUUAUAAGAGGUCCAGCCUGCCCAGUGACUCUGUUCAACGGCCGCGGUAUCCUAACCGUGCGAAGGUAGCGUAAUCACUUGUUCUUUAAAUGUGGACUAGUAUGAAUGGCACUACGAGGGUUACACUGUCUCCUUUCUCUAAUCAGUGAAACUAAUUUUCCCGUGAAGAAGCGGGAAUACACCUAUAAGACGAGAAGACCCUAUGGAGCUUUAAACAAUCAGCAAUUACUUUUUAAAUUAAAAAUUUCAGAAUAUUCAUUUUUUAAGUAGCGUGACUGCAAGUUUUCGGUUGGGGUGACCAUGGAGAAUAACACAACCUCCACAUUGAACGAAUUUCAUUCUAAGCUAAAAAUUACUUAUUAAAGCAUCAACACACUGACAUCUAUUGACCCAAUAUAUUUGAUCAACGAACCAAGUUACCCUAGGGAUAACAGCGCAAUCCACUUCAAGAGCCCUUAUCGACAAGUGGGUUUACGACCUCGAUGUUGGAUCAGGGUAUCCCAGUGGCGCAGCCGCUACUAAAGGUUCGUUUGUUCAACGAUUAAAACCCU